CUGUGGGGAACAGCUGAUCGUUAUCGCCCUUCCAGCGGCGACAGACAGGAAGCGGUGGAUCUAGCUCGCUGUAGGAGCCACAUCCCAGUUACCUACAUGCAAGGAGGCUGUCAAACAGAGAAAUCACUGCAGACUGUUGGUACACGGACAUCUGCUGCCCAGCUCAGGAGUAAAGUACCUUUUUGUUUUGAUGAGGUGAUGGUGAGGACAGCCACAGCUUCCAUCUGGUAGAGGACUGCUUCCGCUCAGUCUUCCAAAUAGUGAUGAGAACAAGGAUCACCACAUCUCCCUGUUUACCCUACUUUCAUGCAUUUCGUCUGCAGGGCCCUGCAAAGGUUUCUGUUCCAAACUCCCAGACUUCUUAAUUAACUCAGUAACCUAUACAUUGCACAUUGGAGUGUGAAGGUAACAGUUUGUUCUAGCUUUGGAGUAGUGGUGCAUUUUUUUGGUUUACAAUAAAGUUGGCUUUAACUAUUAUGUAUUUCA
rnacentral:lncRNA from 1 species